rnacentral:rRNA from 1 species
UACGUAGGGGGCAAGCGUUGUCCGGAUUUAUUGGGCGUAAAGCGUGCGCAGGCGGUUUCUUAAGUCAGAUGUGAAAGCCCCGGGCUUAACCUGGGAACUGCGUUUGAAACUGGGAGACUUGAGUGUGGCAGAGGGGGAUGGAAUUCCGCGUGUAGCAGUGAAAUGCGUAGAUAUGCGGAGGAACACCGAUGGCGAAGGCAAUCCCCUGGGCCUGCACUGACGCUCAUGCACGAAAGCGUGGGGAGCAAACAGG